AGUGAACGCUGGCGGUAGGCCUAACACAUGCAAGUCGAACGGCAGCACAGUAAGAUCUUGCUCUUACGGGUGGCGAGUGGCGGACGGGUGAGGAAUACAUCGGAAUCUACUUUUUCGUGGGGGAUAACGUAGGGAAACUUACGCUAAUACCGCAUACGACCUACGGGUGAAAGCAGGGGAUCUUCGGACCUUGCGCGAUUGAAUGAGCCGAUGUCGGAUUAGCUAGUUGGCGGGGUAAAGGCCCACCAAGGCGACGAUCCGUAGCUGGUCUGAGAGGAUGAUCAGCCACACUGGAACUGAGACACGGUCCAGACUCCUACGGGAGGCAGCAGUGGGGAAUAUUGGACAAUGGGCGCAAGCCUGAUCCAGCCAUACCGCGUGGGUGAAGAAGGCCUUCGGGUUGUAAAGCCCUUUUGUUGGGAAAGAAAAGCAGCAGGUUAAUACCCCGCUGUUCUGACGGUACCCAAAGAAUAAGCACCGGCUAACUUCGU
rnacentral:rRNA from 1 species